rnacentral:ncRNA from 1 species
AGACACGGCCCAGACUCCUACGGGAGGCAGCAGUGGGGAAUUUUCCGCAAUGGGCGAAAGCCUGACGGAGCAAUGCCGCGUGGAGGUGGAAGGCCUACGGGUCGUCAACUUCUUUUCUCGGAGAAGAAACAAUGACGGUAUCUGAGGAAUAAGCAUCGGCUAACUUUGUGCCAGCAGCCGCGGUAAGACAGAGGAUGCAAGCGUUAUCCGGAAUGAUUGGGCGUAAAGCGUCUGUAGGUGGCUUUUCAAGUCCGCCGUCAAAUCCCAGGGCUCAACCCUGGACAGGCGG